rnacentral:rRNA from 1 species
UGGGGAAUAUUGCACAAUGGGCGCAAGCCUGAUGCAGCAACGCCGCGUGAACGAUGAAGGUCUUCGGAUCGUAAAGUUCUGUUGCAGGGGAAGACAAUGACGGUACCCUGUGAGGAAGCCCCGGCUGACUACGUUCCAGCAGCCGCGGUAAUACGUAGGGGGCUAGCGUUAUCCGGAUUUACUGGGCGUAAAGGGUGCGUAGGUGGUCUUUCAAGUCGGUGGUUAAAGGCUACGGCUCAACCGUAGUUAGCCUCCGAAACUGGAAGACUUGAGUGCAGGAGAGGAAAGUGGAAUUCCCAGUGUAGCGGUGAAAUGCGUAGAUAUUGGGAGGAACACCAGUAGCGAAGGCGGCUUUCUGGACUGCAACUGACACUGAGGCACGAAAGCGUGGGUAGCAAACAGG